GGCUCCUUCGUGUUCCCUCAGGAGCUCCCUCCCGCCCGGGGGAGGCGGCGGCUGGCGCUGUCUGACGGGGAGCGGGGACGGGCGUGGGGACAGCGCCUUCGUACGGAACACAGCAGCGCUGCCCGGCGUAAACGGUGUUCCAGGUGCUGGCGAGGAUGUGCUGGUCCUGAGGGCUGUUGGGGAAGGGUGGCGAGCUCCCAGGGACGGAGGAGGAGGAAGGCACCGCUCCCCCGCUGCCCUGGCGCCCACCGCGGGGUGUACAGUGAGCCAUUUGCUUUCCCGAAAGCCAGAGAUCCGAAUCCAUGGGCCGACUCAGGCGGCGCUCGCUUAGGCCCCGCUGCUUGGCUCACCGAAGGCGAAAGAAGCUGGAAGAGAAGGGGGCGGGAGUGGUUCGUAGGGCAGGAUGGUGCCCCGUGACCGUGAUUCCAUCAGCUGCAACUUUCCGUGUAGGAUUCACUGCUGGUUGAAUGUGAAGAUAGUAAAUGACAGUAGAAAAGCAGUUCCGUGUUUAUAGGCAGCAGUAAAUUGCCCGCUCCUCCUCUGUCUUAAAAAAAAAAAAAAUCCCCAAGAUUUCUCUGCUUGGAGAAAGUUUCAUUGCUUUCUAGUAGUGGCUCCUUAUUAUUUCUUGAUCUUUUCCUCCUGGGAAGGAGUUACAAGGAAGCCAUAUCAAGUCUUCCUGACAGAGGCUUCUUAAUGCAUCCAAGCACUAUAUAUAAGGUUCUCUUUCUAUACAAAAGAAUCUGUUAAGAUAUGUAAGAACAAAACCUGUGAGGGAUGUGAGUAUUUCUAUCAAAGCCUGUGCCUUUUAAAGAAAAACUUGUCAUUUUACCAGAUGGAGGCAGAAAUAAUUUCUUCUGUGUUCUUUUACAUCUGUUGCUCUUCAGAUAACUAGGGAUGCUUACAAAAGCUUAUGAUGGAGUCAUAAGAUGAGUGAGGGGGGAGGAGGGAAGAAGAACUACUGAAAGAUGUUGAUCUCUGUGACCCCAGAGCUAUGCAAGAGCACAUGAGUUGUAAUGGAUUUACAGGAACAUGAUGUUAACAUAUGGCUCCCUGGGAAUUUAUUGACAUAUGUAGCAUCAGUUAUGAUAGUUAGAGAUUGUGAAGUGGGGUGUGAUGAGUAUGCUUUGAUUCACACAAACAGAAUAAUUGAAGAUCUGCACAGGGGCUCUGUACAAGCUCUACCAAUGCACCAUUUUUGCUAUAAUAAUAAAAGGCUAUUUUUAAUACCUUUGGGAAUACAUUGCAUUGCUUCUCAUCAAACAUGCAGACUUAUUCUGUAGCAUAUGUGCCCAUUUGCCUCUGAUCUCUGCAUGUUUUUACUGUUCUUGAUCUAAGUAAAAUAGCUGAAGUUCUUUUAAAUGUGAGAGCUGUUGUGUGGAAAUGGGUGUUUUAUUCACUAAUUAUAGUCAAAGACUGACUGCUGUUGCAUGCAUGACAUAAGAUGUGGAAAAUCAGUCCCUUUUCUGUCUCUCCCAAUGAUAGCAAAAAAGCUGAAUUUAUGCUGGCCUGACAGAGUCCAGAUUACCAAGCAUAGCAAAAUUUCCAGUUCUCCUCUUGCUGUAAUGACUCUGUAGUGAGUAACUGGCGCUGUAAAAUACCUUUUCCCAGGAAACAAAUCUGACUUGGAGACAUAAAGGUCAUAGGGCUCCAUUUCAUGUGAAACGGAGCAUUACUUUCAUACAGCCACCUCUGGAAGAUUGAUUGUGUUUUGAAUGCUACGAGACAGAAUGCUGUACUAGUGGGGACUCCACUAACCCUGGGUUGGCACUCAGGUUUGUGUGCUUCACUGUUUUCCUGCCAGAGUUGGAUACUAGGUGCUGUGUAAAUCCUGAACAUAUUUUAGCUACUGGCUGCAGGUAACUAGGUAAGUAGCACAGGACUUGAUUUCACAGGCAAUUUAGAGGAACAGUUUUUGUCAGAAGAACUUAUGCAAGACUGCAGAAGAAGUAGUAUUGACUGAGGUUUCAGCUCUUCAGAAAUACUCUAGAUCGGUCUCAAAUCAGUUGCUUUGAGGGACAGCUGUUAAUUAAGUUGCUCCUUGUAUUGCCUUUGUUGUAUCAUCCUACACAGUCCCCUUGGGAGCAGUCAGCUCAAUAAGGGACUCAACUCCCUAGCCGACCCAAAAGUUGAAAUGUUUUUUAGCUUUUCUCUAAGAUUCUUUAGCCCCUUUAUAUACAGCAUUUACCUUUGACAAGACUUUGUUGCAAUAAACCAGCACAUUCUUUGCUGCCAGGGGUCUUGCAGCACUGGGAGUGGAACAGACAGUUUUGCUAGAAGAAAGAGCUAGGAGACUUUAGUAAAAAGAGGAUGUGAGGAUGGCAAGGCCAGGAAAAGUAGAAAUGUAUAUAUGCUUGCACAAUGCUGAGAGUAGAGGGAGCUCAGAGGAAUCACGAGAUAAAAGUGCCAGUGCCUUCAUGCAGAAGACAUCGGCGCCACUGGAGCUUAUUGACAUGGGUUGUACAAAACCUUGCUGGAAGUACUGAUGCUUUUACUGUACCUCUUACUAUGACAAAUUUCAUUUCCCUUUUUCAUUUCCCUCCUUAUUCCUGGCCUGAUCCCCAUCUUGCUUCCUCUUUUUAUUCUCAGUUGCACAGGUUUAUGAUUGCCACACUUGCUGCUGCUUCUCAUAUCGCUUCAAUCCCCAUCAACAUUUCAUUUGGUCAAGACCCUGUCUUACCUUUCUUCUUGGUGGGUAAGUGGGAACAAUAAGUCCAUUGUGUUCCCAGAUAGGAAACUUUUCCCCACGAGUGUUUCUCCCUGUUUGUCUCCCCAUACCAGACUCCUGCUUCACUCAGAUCACCCCGUGUGGAAGAGAACGUGCUCUGUCCUGCAGCAUUUGUGUGCACACCCCUUCCAGUAGCAACCAUGAUUUAUACUGAUUUGGAUGUAGUCAGAUGCAGGGCAGACAUCUUUGAAACCUCCUGGUCAUUCCAUAUUUUUCAUGUUCUGUCUUGCUGCUGUAUUUCUUCUUUUUUUUCUUCUGCUCUUUGUAGAUAGAACUGAAAUAGUGAAGAAAAUACUUCUAUAUGCACACUUGGUCUUCAUUUAUGGAAUGAGCUUUCUUGAACAAAGAGAUGUGCCAGUGUGGCUUCUGGGAAGCUGAGUGACUCAGAAAUCAGCCACUUCCUCGGUCUCGGUGAUAUGAAGGACAGAUUUCUUGUUUGCCUGAAGUUAAAUCCAAGCUGACCUGUCACUACAAACGGACAGUUUUUCGAAGAUGAGGCUUGGUGGAACAGCUUCUUGGUAUCUCAACUAUGGAAGGCCAACUUUGUGCUAAUGUGGACAUUUCUGUGAAAAAACCUCCAGGAGCAAGCCCUCAGUCUUUCAUUGCUUUGCUGAAGGUUCACCGAGAGCUUCUGGUCAGCAGGAUCCGAAACACGCAGUGUUUGAUUGAUAACUUGAUUAAGAACGACUACUUCUCCACUGAAGAUGCAGAGAUUGUUGUCCAGUUUCCCACUCAAGCAGAUAAGGUUCGCAAAAUUCUAGACUUGGUUCAAAGCAAGGGAGAAGAAGUUUCGGAAUAUUUCGUCUUUGUCCUGCAGAGAGUCACCGAUGCUUACUAUGAACUUCAGCCUUGGCUGGAGGAAAUAGGUUAUGAGCCUUCAGAGAAUAUUUGUAGUAAACCUGUGGUAAAUACAGAUCCAGUUAGCAGGUAUUGCCAGAAACUCAGACAUGAGCUGGGACGGGACUCCAAGUUUGUUAUGUUGUACGCUCAGAAGGAGGAGAUGGUCCUUGAAGAAAUCUACUCCAACAGUAUUAUGGAGCUGGUCAGUUUUACCAAUGAGAGUCUUGGCCAGGUGGGUCCAUUAGAAGCCCUUUUUGAUGAUGCAACUGGGCUAAUUAAUGAAGAUGGAGAGACUAUUUAUGUCUACGGUGAUGCAGGAAUUGGAAAAUCCAUCUUGCUGCAAAGGAUACAAAGCCUUUGGGCCAGAAAGGAAUUGGACAUAGGGGCCAAGUUUUUCUUCCGUUUUCGGUGUAGGAUGUUUAGCUGCUUCAAGGAAGAUGAAGUCAUAUGUUUGAAAGAUCUGCUCUUCAAGUAUAAUUGCUACCCAGACCAGGACCCCACAGAAGUGUUCCAUUACAUCUUGCAGUUCCCUCAUACAGUUCUUUUCACUUUUGAUGGCUUUGAUGAGAUCUAUUCCAACUUUGAUCUCAGCAGCGUACCUGAGAUAUGCUCACCCAGUGAACCCAUCCACCCCCUGGCGCUGCUUGUAAGCCUUCUCAGAGGAAAGCUUCUUAAGGGAUCCAAGAAAAUUCUUACUGCCAGGACAGGAACUGAGAUCCAAAAAAACAUCAUUAGGAAGAAGGUGUUGCUCCGCGGUUUCUCCAGGAAUAACCUGAAGGAAUACACAGCUAUGUUUUUCAAAGAUGAGCGGCAACGAGCACUGGUAUCAAACCAGCUGGAAGCUAACCCAAAUCUCUGCAGUUUGUGUUCAGUACCUUUGUUUUGCUGGAUUAUCUUCAAAUGCUUUGAGCACUUCCACUCCAUGUUUGACAGCCACGAGCUUCCAGACAGUUCAGUUACGUUAACAGAUGUAUUUCUGCUCAUGAUUGAAGUCCACCUGAACCGAUCUGUGAAAACAAGUUUGCUGAAGAACAAUAUCAGGAGUCAAGCAGAGAUGUUCAGAACAAGAAAGGAAAGUCUUCUAGCUUUGGGUAAAAUGGCAUACGAAGGGAUGGAGAACUCUUCCUUUAUCUUUGAGCAGGAGGAAGUCUCAUCAGCAAACAUCUCUGAAGAAGAUUUGCAAUUGGGCUUUCUCAGGACAGUUAAAGGUUACAGUGGCUGUGACAGUCAGGCCACUUAUGAGUUCUUGCACUUAACCCUUCAGUCCUUUUUCACAGCUUUGUUCUUGGUUAUGGAGGAGAAGGUGGGUACCAAGGAGUUACUUGAGUUUUUCAAUGAAUGUUCUUCCAUGGAGACUGCCCAGCCUACUUGCCUUCGUAUCCCCUGGCUGAAGAAACAACUAGCAGGGGAGGAUCCUUUCCAAAAUAAAGAACACUUUAAUUUUACCAACAUGUUUCUUUGUGGCCUACUUUCCGGAUCCAAGCAGAAGCUCUUCAGACAUUUAGUUUCACCUGCGGUCAUUAAGAGGAAGAGAAAAACACUCAUCACAUACCUUGGGCAGAGCAUGAAAUCCCAUCUGAAAGGCUACACUCGGUCCAGGCUUAAAAGCUACAACCAGGUGCAGGUGCAGCCCAACUUUGUGUGGAUGCUGAGGUGCCUGUAUGAGACACAGAGUGAGAAGGUGGGGAGGAUGGCAGCCCGCCGCAUGCACGCCAACUACAUCAAGCUGGCCUACUGCAACGCCUGCUCUGCCGACUGCAGCGCCAUCUCCUUUGUUGUGCACCACUUCCAAAAGCGCCUGGCUCUGGAUUUGGACAACAACAACAUCAAUGACUUUGGAAUAAAACAGCUGCAGCCUUGUUUCAGCAAGCUUGCAGUGAUCAGGCUCAGUGUAAAUCAGGUCACAGAUCAUGGCGUAAGGAUCUUGUAUGAAGAACUCUCCAAGUACCAAAUUGUGUCUUUCUUGGGCUUAUACAACAACCAAAUCACUGAUGUUGGAGCCAAAUAUAUUGCAAAACUAAUUGAAGAGUGUUCAAGCCUCGAAUAUGUAAAAAUAGGAGCAAACAAAAUAACGAGCGAAGGAGGGAAGUGCCUUGCCCAGGCCAUCCAGAAGAGCAAGACAAUGUUUGAAAUUGGGAUGUGGGGUAAUCAAGUUGGAGACGAAGGAGCAAAGGCAUUUGCAGAGGCCCUGAGGAACCACCCCAAGUUAACAAACGUGAGUCUCGCAUUCAAUGGCAUCACGACAGAGGGAGGCAAAAGAAUUGCUGAAGCCAUGCAACACAACAACUCUGUGAGGAUAUUCUGGUUGACUAAAAACGAGCUGGAUGAUGAGGCAGCAAUGAGUUUUGCAGAGAUGCUGAAGGUCAACAAGAAACUGGUGCAUUUAUGGCUUAUCCAGAAUCAAAUUACAGCCAAAGGGGUGAAAUGCCUCAGCGAAGCUCUCAAGGAGAACACAACUAUUCAAGAAAUCUGUGAAAGGACACUGAAUUCUUGCUUAGAAAGACAAUGACUCACUGUCUGACUAGUGUGUUCCCUGGAGAUGUGGAAGAGGUACUUUUUUCAAAAGCCACUGUCAGCUUUCGUCUACAGAAGAGGCAUCAAUUUCCCCUCAGAUCAUUCUGAAUCUUCAGACUGAAAUCUGUCUUUUGAUUCUGGCCUGAAUGUUCAGAGGCAUUCAUUAACCCAAGUCAUUUCAUAAAUCUGAAUGGUUUAAUGGAUUUCAACGUUUCUGAGAGCAGCACUUAACCCGGCUACUCAUUUUCAGGGGUCUUGAAUGGGAACCUGAUAAGCCAAGAAGAGGCCAAAGCUUUUGAAAAUGAAGAGCGGAUCAUUUGCUUUUGAAUGAGGACUUCCCCAUUUUGCCAAGCUGGUGUUAACAAAGGUUACUCCUACACUUGGACUGCAGAGUUUAUAAAGGCAUAAAUCUACAAUGCUUGUGGCAGGAGAGAGAUACACAGUGAGCUGCCUUUUUAUGAACACACUGCACUCCCUCAGCUCCAUCCCUUACCCUGCCCAUUAUUCUUAAUCCUUUUGGUGAGUGGGAAGUUGCCUGGGUAAAUAAUUAAUGUUUGUUCGGUGCUUUGAAGAUGAAAUGCAAAGUGUUAAUAGACUAAAUCCACUGGCAGGUGUAUGCAUUUUGAUAACUGAGUUUAGAUCUAUUCUGUACAGUGAUGUAAAUAAUCUCUUAUUUAUAUAUGUAAAUAAAGACGCUCAAGUGUCUUUAUCAAUAUAAAAAAACCCCAAAAAACAACAUAUGUAAGAAAGGGUGCAAGAUGCACAAACUCCACCAGCUCUGAGCUCUGCCUCAGAACUGAAAAUGAAUAUAUACACAGCUUUACCAGAAAUGGUAUCUAUAGUAGUUGCUUGGUGUCAGUGUUUUGAACAUUAUUGCCUUCUUCCUGCCUAGAAAUCAGGUCCCUAUUUCUCCACUGACUACAGGCAGCAUUGUAGACACUGCUUUUUUGUUGUUGUUGAGUUUUUUUUAGAUGGGUAGAAAUGGAUGCAUCAGGCUCAGAUUACUUUCAGUAAUUUUUUUUCCCAUAUUGAAGCCAAUCCAUUUUCUUUCAUGCAACCAGAAGUCCUUUCCUGCCAUCACUGUAAAACCCUAACACAGGCAGUAAACCACUUCUGCUUCAAAUUUCCAGAGGGCUGCAUAGAAACAGCUGCCUCCUGUUUCCCCCGUGUUUGUUCUGGGGAGGGGGUCUGGAGAGAAAUGUGAACAAUUAAUUAGCAGGCUGUUCAUUGUCUUGGCUCCUGGCCUGGGCACCGUGCUGGUGGCACUACACCAGUGUCACGUUGCCCAGCAUCAGUGGGGAGAAAGGACGAUUGAAAAUCAGCUGCGUCAAGUAGAAAUCCCUUCUCCCAGCAACAGGCAAGCACACAGGAGGAUUGAGAUUGGCUUGGAAAGCUUUUAUGCUCAAAUCAGUGGACAGAGCAAGGCAAGGGGCAGCAGUAAUAAUAAGGACCAGCAAGAAAACAUGAUCUUCCCCUAAAUUAUUAUUGUUUAGGAAGUGUAACUUUAGAGGCUUUACAAGAAACCAGUUAGCAAAGGAGUGGGGUAUUUGAUUAUUUUUUGUGGGAGCUUUAUAAACUCAAACUCUAUCCCGCAGUGUAGGAGGUAGUUUGAGUUUAUAAACCUAAAAUAGAAGUGUGAGCCAUUUUCCUUCCUUCUCCCAUGCUACCAUCCCCCCCCCCCAAACUCUGAGAAACAAUUCUCCAGCUGCUGACUAACCCACAAAACCUUGGUAGGUUGGAAGAAGAAUCUUCAGUUUAAGUGCCAAAGUAGUGAACCCUCACCUUCCCAUCUCCCAAAUCUGCCCCAUGAAGCAAAGAAAAUGCUUGCUUUGCAGGUCUGAGCUUCUCCAUUUCCCAUGUGGUAGCAAACCUUUCCCAGCUCUCAAUUCUGUCUACUCCCUUCAGCUCCCCAACACAUUUUAAAAUACUCACAAGGGUUUCUCACAAAACCUGCAGUCAUAAAGGAAAAAAUGUGAAAAAAACCCAACUUAGUUAUUUUUCAAUGGCUUUUCCUCUGUGCCUGUGGUAUCAACACUGAUUUUUCACAGGGAGACAGAUGAGGUUUUUCAACCAUGCCAGAGGGAACUCAGCUAACUUGAAUGAUUUCUGCACCUGAGCCGUUUGUUUACUGAAGCAAAAGGGCACACAGUUACAGAUGAACUGGAUUUCAAUUGCCAAAACAUCUGCCAAAGCAAAGCCUUUAAAGACUUCUCAGUGACUUUAACAAAUCAGAGACUCAUGCACCUUGUCAAAGUGUGUUUUCCCAGCCUACUCUGAUGGAAGGGAGAAGAUACUGGUGUAAGGAAGGGUCUUCACCAGAGGUGUCAUUUGCCUGUGUUUGAGGAAGUGUGCUCCUACUUUGCUCUAAUCACAGAAUUACUUACCAGGUAGAAAACAUGUUUAAAACUACAGUUCCUGUCCUCAUUUCACUAACUGACUAAAAGAGCUUCCCCCAAGCUUUCCAGUGUAGUCACAUCUGCCCCUUUUUUGGGCUAGAGCAGCCUUUGGCAUUGUUCAUAGUGACAAGCUCAGCCCUGUUGCAAAUCUUGUUCCAUACCUGGCUGUUACAAGCUGGGCAUCCAGGGUAUGUUUUCAGGGACAGUAGCAUUUACAGGGCUACAGCAGCAUUUACAGGUCUGCAGCAGCUAAAUGCAGCCUCAGGGUAAGUGGUGGCAGGAUCAAGCCCAGCUGCAUAUAGGACAGAGCUAGGCACUGAUUACAGUGCCAGAGACAGAGCCAGUCACAGCCACUUCUUCCAGAGGUGACUCUGGGCAGCAGAUGGUUGUUUGGACUGGGCUGAAGGUCUGAGCACAGCUCACUCUGGGUUUGAUAAAACCAAGGGGUUUCAUAGCAUCCUGCUUCCAGCUCAGCCAGAUCAGGGUGUCUGCUUCACAGAGCACAUCACAGCUCUGGGAGUCAUGCUGGGCAAACUGGUUGCUGCUCUGGGAGCAGCCAGACAUCCCUUGUUUAUCUGCACAGCGUUUCUGGCCUCUGUGUAAGGGGCAUUGGAGCAACACUUCUGCAGCUUGCAGUGAGAGCCUUGUUUACUCAGAGACAACUGUAACUUUUUUAAGACUUGUUUGUAAUUUGCUGAAGCCUUCUGUGUACACAGCGUCAUGUUUUUCCACUCGUCCACUGUGAUAAUAAACAGCUUUUUAAAGAA